GAGAUAUAUUAGCCAUUCCUGUUUCUACUGUGGCAUCUGAGUCAGUUUUUAGCACGGGAGGUCGUGUCCUUGACCCUUAUCGCAGUUGUUUGAGUCCCACCACUAUAGAGGUGUUAAUUUGCACUCAAAAUUGGUUAAAACCUGCUAAGAUAUUGGUUGAGCUUGAUGAAGGAGAUGCCGCUGUUGAUUCAGAAUUUUCUGGAGUUACUAGUGUCGGAGAUCCUGAAGUUCAAAGUAGGAUGCAAUCUCAUCAACCAUCUUAGGAAUGAAUGCUUGCUGAUAUAGUGUCAAUUGGAAGACUGGAAGAGAUGUGUCAAUUGGAAGACUGGAAGAGAUGUGUCAAUUGGAACUUGUUGAGUUGUUGUUUUAGUAUUUUUAGUAUGCUGGGAUUGCUGUUUUAGUAUG